GGAAAAGGAUUUUCCCGACCUGCCAGACCAGCCAAUCGCCGGCUCCCAUCCAGAUGGGCCUCCCGAUCACCAUCUGCACCCCCAGCCUUGCGGAGGAACCCACAGCUAUAAAGUCUCUCUGCAAACCGAAGCCCAGACGCUCUAGGUCUCUAGCCUGGAUUGCUGGAUUACAAAGGCUAUCAUACCUUUUGCUAAACUGAAUCUUCAGAAUGUUUACAAACAGUCCUGUUCUCAUCUGUAUCUUCUAAGACCACUGGGACAAGCAAUCCAAAUCCUAGCUUUCCAUCAGUCUUCAGUGUUUUUAAUCUAUGGGAUCAUUAUCUCCUUGUACUUUAAUUUCUCACAUUAGAUUUUUUAUUGCCAUCCUCAUUGAUUUUCUGACAUGAUUUAAGUUGACACGAUGUACUAUAUUGUAUAUUCUAACUUUCCUUGCAAAUGCAGAAAAACAAGGUUCUGUGCAUGGCCAUGUGUUUGUGGGUGCAUGUGUUGUCAUAGGAAGUAUUCUGGUAUGUAUUUAGGUAAAAAUUUAUGUGCUAGUGUUGAGUUUGAAAUUAUAACAUGUAGACCUAUAUAUUCUUUGUGUUUAUUUUAGAGUUUUGAAAAUAUACAAUCCUAUUUAUAUUUUGCAUAGCGUUUAACAGGUACUCAAACUAAGGCAUUUGACAUUCAUGUAUCACUUAAUGACUUCCUUGGCGACCAACUAUAUUGAAAAAUUAAGAAUUAUACACAAACCUAAGAUUAACAGUUUUCCAGAAAUCAAUCUUAAAUAGCAUUUUAACCCAUAUGAAGAUAACUGAUACUGCUCAUUUCUUGUUAAAUGAAAAUGUCACAGGUUUAAUAUACCAGCUUUCUCAAACAAGCAUAAUAUGCUCACACAUGCUUUUAUAUAUCACCUGGUAGUCUCACGUGGUUUAAUUGUAUACUUGACUCUCAGCCAGGAUAAUUAGACUCCCUUAGUAAUGACAGGACACAGUAGUGGGUUUAUUUUAUCAUUCUCAUUAACAAACAUUUCUUAAAUGAGAUAAAGAAAGGAAUCAAAUCGUGCUAAAUUCUCCUUUUUGUUAAAAUUGUCCCGAGUUUUCAGUUGUUUGCUUUAUCUGGAGUUCCUUUGUUGAGGUAAGUUGUUUGGGUUUUGUUUGUUUUUUUGUUUUUUUGUUUUUCUCCUUCCUCUUUUCUAAUAAUUUCCCCAAAAUUAGUAGAUAAGACUAAUUCACUUUUUAUGUACAAUAAGAAUGAUCAGGAACAAGUUUUGCUGACAGCUCAGUUAUAUUGUAUUUCUUACACUGUAUAAAAAGGCCUUAAACUGAAUCAGGCAUUGCUAAGACACAAUGAUGUACAUCAAAGGUAUAAAGUGAUUACACCUGAUGCAUGAAGUCUAUACUGAGAAGUGGCAUAGGAGAAGUACAAGACUUAAGGUACUUAGAAUCCUAUAUGGAUCAACUUAGACACAACUUUGCUGUGCAUUGUUCCCAUUUAAAAAUCAAUCCUAUUACAUGGUUUGUUAAAUAUUAAUUCAAUUUUAUCCAAAAAUCUUAAGAAAUCCUCUUUUCCAAACAAAAUCUGUGGGCUUUCUGCCUAUAAUAUCCUAGCCACUAAGAGGAUUCCACCUUGUUAUACCAUUCCCUGAAGUAAAACACACACACACACACACAAAUAACUUUAAAUCACAGAUUGCCUUAAAAGGCUUGCGACUGUAGUUCAUGGUUUACAGUAAGAAGACUUCUAGGGCUUAAGUGGUAUUAAGUGUCUAGAAUGUGAGUUUGGCACAAAUCAUGAAGGUUAUAGUUCUACUUUUCUCAGUCUUGCAUCCUUCAGGGAACUUUUUCUACCACAGGAGAGUAGCCUAGACACUUUUCCACUAGAGGAGAGAAAACACUGGAAAAGGGGUUCCUUGGGGCAUGAAAUGAUAACCCAAAACCAUUGCUGUGGUCAUGUCUGUUUCUUGGUGUCCCUGAAUCCCAGGCAGCCUGAGAACAAUCUGUAGCCCCUGUCUUCAUGUUCAAAUCUGAGUGUUGAGGUCUCCUUUAAAGAUGGAAAAAAUCCUGAUCUCAUCCCAAAAAUAAUAAAGAAAGAUUUCCAGCACUGGGGACCUGAGA
rnacentral:lncRNA from 1 species